AACUCAGUGGUCUAGUGGUAAAGUCUUCUCUGCGGAGCCAGAAGGUCUUGGGUUCGAUCCCUGAUGGAGUUG
rnacentral:tRNA from 1 species